GAAAGCGGUAUUCGAUGAAAGUCGUAUGUAUGGCUUGGAGGGAGAUCUUUCAUAUCUUUCAUAUCUUUCGAGAUCCACCCUAC
rnacentral:ncRNA from 1 species